rnacentral:lncRNA from 1 species
UGAACAAACUAACUAAACAAGCUUCCCUAUCAAGCGGAAGAAGAGACGUAGAAACUAACCUCUCCUAAACCAAGGCAGAAACGAAGCACCACCACCGAACACACCGCCGCACACACUCGCCGCCUCGCCGCACACAUGAGCCACACUGCUGCACACACCAAAAACUACAUAGCACCACCACGCGAAAUGCAUAGAUAAAUAAAAGAGGACGAUUGGGAGAGUUGGGAGUAAAAGGUUAAAAAAAAUGAAACGGAUUUAGGUGAGUGAGAAGGGGAAACAGAUUUAGGUGAGAAGAGGAGGUGGGAGUGUUGUGUUCCUGUUAGUGAGUGAAACAGAAAAUAGAAAAGUAGAAAUCUAAGAUUAUUUAAUUAAAGAGGAUUAAAAAGUAAAAAAUAAAGUAAAAGAAAAAGUUAUUUUGGUAAUAUAAAAAAAAUUACAGAAAAUACAGAAAAUACAGAGAGGUGCAAGGUGGAAACACGAAGGUGAAAGAAAUAACAUCCAAAUAAAUAAAGUAGCAUACGGCCCAUUCAGAUAUUUUUUUAGAAGAAU